CACUGCCCCACCCCUGGGCACGCUGGGAAAUGUAGUCCCGAAGGGAGGCGUUGAGGGAGGGUCGGGGUUGUGUCGCUCCGCGUCCCCUCAGACACCGGAGCCGCCCCUCGCCCCCGCUCCGCUCUGCUCUGCUCUGGGGACGCGGGGCUCGCCCCACGAACGCUCGGCAGCGCUCACUCCGCAGGGAAGGACGAAGCCCCUCACCGAGGAAAUUCUUGAGUGCAUAAAGAAAAAAAUUUAAAAGGCAGGAAGAAUACAGUCCCUAUUUCUACUAGAGAGUGCCACGCAGGACAUUAAUGAUGCUGAUAAAAAUUUGUUAAAUGUAAGAGGAAU
rnacentral:lncRNA from 1 species